rnacentral:rRNA from 1 species
CAGCAGCCGCGGUAACACGCAGGUGGCAAGCGUUGUCCGGAAUUAUUGGGCGUAAAGCGCGCGCAGGUGGUUUAAUAAGUCUGAUGUGAAAACCCACGGCUCAACCGUGGAGGGUCAUUGGAAACUGUUAAACUUGAGUGCAGGAGAGAAAAGUGGAAUUCCCAGUGUAGCGGUGAAAUGCGUAGAGAUUAGGAGGAACACCAGUGGCGAAGGCGGCUUUUUGGCCUGUAACUGACACUGAGGCGCGAAAGCGUGGGGAGCAAACAGGAUUAGAUACCCCCGUAGUCCCUGUCUCUUAUAA